AUAAAUAAUAUUUUAUGUUCGAACAAUUUUUAUAUUAACAUACAUCUAGAUGAGACAAUUCGAGUUCUUUCUUCAAGUAAGUAUCAUUUCUCUAAUUCAAUUAUUAAGGUUUUAGAUUAUGAAUUUUUGGUGUUUGUGGUUCUUUUCGGCACAAGUAUGAAUGUUGCCGGAAACCUCCCUAUUUGGUGGGGGCGGCCUCGCUACUUCCCUACUUGUGACGAGGCUGGCCAUUGAAAUCUCACCAUUCGUGCUCCACUAUCAUUGUUGUUCUUCUUCUUCUGGUCGCUCUUAUGCACCUGCGUAAAAAAAAUUAGUCCAAUGGAUUUGAGUGUUGUCUUGAAAAAGAUAUUGUUGAAUAAACUGUAAUUGAAUGAAAAAAACUCAUUAAAAGCUUAUGACUUAAAAUUUGAAUUCUUGGUAUGAGUUCUUUGAGUUACGUGUUCAACUAUUCUCAGAGGAAAAUGAAAUUAGAGAGUAGUAUAAAUAAUCAACAUAUCACCAGUCAAAUAAAUAAAGCACUUGAAUCCCAAAGCAGGUCAAAUAUAUUACUUUUGCUGCCUUUGUCUGAAUUAGAAUACAGUUUAAGUUAUUCUUCAUGAUAAGUAUCAUUUCUCUAACUCAAUUACUAAGGUUUUACCGUUUUAGAAACUGAAUUUGUGGUGUUAAUUUGUAGUUCUUUUUGGCACAAGUCUGAAUGUUGUCAGAAACCUCCCCAUAUGGUGGGGGUAGCCUCGCUACUUCCCUACUUGUGAUGAGGCUGGCCAUUGCAAUCUGAGCCUGCUUCGUGCUCCACUAUCAUUAUUGUUAUUCUUCUUCUGGUCGCCCUUAUGCACUUGCGUAAGAAAAUUAGUCCAAAUGAUUUGAGUGUUGUAUUGAAAAAGACGUUGUUGAAUAAGUUGUAAUUAAAUAAGAAAACUCAUUAAAAGUUUAUGACUUAAUAAAAUUUGAAUUCUUAGUAUGAGUUAUUUGAUUUACGUGUUCAACUAUUUAUUCUUAGAGAAAAAAGAAAUUAGAUAUCAGUACAAAUAGCAAAUAAUCAAGAAAUCACCGGUCAAAUAAAUAAAGGACUUUGAAUCCGAAAGCGGGUCAAAUAAAUUACUUUGGAGCCUUUGUCUGAAUUAGAAUACAAGUCUUAAAAGUCUUAAAAGGUAAGAUGCCGAAGUUGGGCUUUGUCUAGAGAGAGAAAAGGAAGAGGCCAGGGGUGAAGAACCUGGGGGGACACAUCCCUGAUUUUCCAAAACCAGCAACUUGCAUGUCAGCAAACCCCACUUGAUUCUGGGAUUCACUGAACCAAACCUUAUUUCUCUCUCUGGCUAUACAUAACAUAAUAAUGAAUAAUGAAUAAAGUACACUGCAACAACCCGGAACCUAUCAAAAUUCAUCCCAUAAUUCUCCUUCCUUGGAUUCAUUUUCUCUGUCACUCGCUCGCCCACACCUUUCAAAUUAAACUUGUGGUGCAUUGAACUUUGAACCAACCAAAUUCUGAAUUCAGAUUCCUCUCAUGAAUUUAAUCUGCCAUAGGCCGGUGAAUACAGAUCAUCUUUCACUGAUCAUCAGAGAAGAAGACAGAGCCUUUUGUGGCUGAAAUGCAACAAGCGCACAAGGAGACCUCUCUUUCUUGCUGCCUCAUUUGGAAAUUCUCUUACCAAGAUCACCCAAAUCAAGCACGAAACAACAACAGUUGGCUUAUUGGGGACGGCGUCUCAUGGUUUGUUCAUUGAGGGAUUAGCUAGUGACGUUUUCUUUCGAUUUGGGGUUUGGAUCUGGUUCACGUGUUUCGUAUCUUAUAAGUUUGGGCGUGCUUUUGGAAACUGAGGUCUUAGAAGCAUCAAGAAUCAGUUUGAUCCAUAUUAGCAAAGAGAAUUUACGGUUCCUUGUUGGUCGAAAUUAAUCGAGUCUCUCAGGUUUGGCCAAUCGAUCACUGAUCGCUGUGUUGCCAGUGUUGGCACUUGUUUGCUGUGAUUUUGAUUUGGAUUUGGGGGGAGCAAAGACAUUAAUAAAUGAAAUUUGAAGUUCCUGAAGCAGACGUAAGACUUUCAAAAGGCUUUAUUGACUUGCAAGCUCAUUGUUCAAGUUGCCUUAAUAUGGAUGUCAAAGCAAGACCCCAAGGGGAUGAAGGACAUAAAAUAGAGCAUCAGCAUUACCAUCAAAGAUCAUCUUUGUAUCAUCGAUCACUAUCACACGGCAGAGGUAGUGGCAGAAGACUGCUUCCAGCAAGCUACUUUAGCCUCGAGUCGUUGCUUUUGCUUGUAUGCCUCACGGCGACUCUGCUGAUCCUGCCGUUGAUACUU